GCAGCACUUUCCCAUGAAGAUUUCUGAAACAAGAAACAAUACACAGUAAGUGAAGAAAACACUACUUAAGCUCAUAACAGUUUUAAUAAAAGAUGAACUUUAGAAUUUGACAAAAUCAAAUAAUAAGAAUUGUUAGAAUAUGUGUUGUGAUUGAGCGAUUGAGUGUUGUGAUUGUGUGCUGUGUAUAUGCCUAUAAAUGUGUAACAUUCCUUUCUUAGCAUAUGUAUAACAAUUGAUACGAUACAGUUUACAACUGAAAAGGAUGAAUUGUAAUUCUGUUAAGAUGUUAUUAGAUUAGUUGCAAAUCUGUUGUAAAUGUUCAAGCAGGUAGUGAGCUAGCUGGUAGUCAACUACUGUAAUCUCCAUAUAAGAAGCUAACUCUAUUGUUAUCAGUGUGUGUUGAUUGAAUGAAAACUCUCUUGUCUCUUGGGUUCUUUUCUAUUCUUCUAUUCUUCUUUCUGAAAUGUUCUCUCUUCUUCCAUUCUCUUUCUUUUUCUAUUGAAUCUGAAUCAAUGGUAUCAGAGAUGGCUGAUUCUCGACCAUAGUGGAAUUACAGGUUCUGAUCUUCUUUUCCUAUCUCUUCUAUUCUCAUUCUCCCUGUUUUUCCUUUCUCUUCUGAUUCUAGCCAAUUUCUUCUCAAUUUCUCCCUAAUUCUUCUCAAAUUCUUCUUUCUUUCUUAAAAUCUUGAAUCGAAUUCUUCCUUCUUAUGUUGCUUUCUCGUUCCUUCUUCUACUCUGUUCUUUAAUUUCUCCUCUCUAGCAUUUUAAAAAACCUGUUUCUUGAAAGGGUUUCAAUUUCUUGAAAUUCUUCUCUAUUUUUUAUCCUUCUUCAAUAUUUUCUUUUUCUCUUUUUUUCUAUUUUCUUUCUUCAAUUUCUUUGGUUUCUGUAAAAGUACCAACAGCAGACUAUGGAACUAGAAAAGAUUAUUCAGAGUAUGCUUGAAAUUAUAGAAAGAUGAGAAAAGAAUAUAGAAAUUUCUAAGAAGUCUGUUCAAGAAGAAACAAAAUUCCAGGGUUCUGAGAAUGGAACAAUGGAGGUGAAUUGGGA
rnacentral:misc_RNA from 1 species